GAUGAACGCUGGCGGCGUGCUUAACACAUGCAAGUCGAACGGAAAGGCCUCUGCUUGCAGGGGUACUCGAGUGGCGAACGGGUGAGUAACACGUGGGUGAUCUGCCCUGCACUUCGGGAUAAGCCUGGGAAACUGGGUCUAAUACCGGAUAGGACAAUGGUUUGGAUGCUGUUGUGGAAAGUUUUUCGGUGUGGGAUGAGCUCGCGGCCUAUCAGCUUGUUGGUGGGGUAAUGGCCUACCAAGGCGUCGACGGGUAGCCGGCCUGAGAGGGUGUACGGCCACAUUGGGACUGAGAUACGGCCCAGGCUCCUACGGGAGGCAGCAGUGGGGAAUAUUGCACAAUGGGCGCAAGCCUGAUGCAGCGACGCCGCGUGGGGGAUGACGGCCUUCGGGUUGUAAACUCCUUUCGCUAGGGACGAAGCGUUUUUGUGACGGUACCUGGAGAAGAAGCACCGGCUAACUACGUG
rnacentral:rRNA from 1 species